UUUCCUUCCAGUGAAGCUAAUUUGCAGCUUCUGGCUGUGAGAACAUCAUUACCAAUCUCAAGUUAUUUGCCCUAACCAUACAUUUUUAUUCCACUAGUAAUACUGGUAUUAGCAUGAACCUAAGAAAUCAGACCUAAUUUUGCCUACUAGAACAACAAAAAAAAGCUGGUUCUGGGGGUGGGGGAAAAGCUGCAAUGCUGUUCAGACACCAGGGUCUGAUAAGCAUUGCCUCACACUGCUUUUUAUUGCUUGAGUUUCCCACAGACGGCUAAAAGUGGUUAAGCUGUUAAUUUCUCAAAAGAUUUCUUGGUUUCAUUUUCCAAACAGCUUGAUAGUUUUUUAUUAGUUGCUGCCUUGAAGAUUCUGUACUCAAAAAAAGAAGCAUUUUCCAAUCCCAGGACAGUUGUCAGAAGAGGUCUAACAGUGUUCAUUCUCAUCUCUCCUAAGUCACUGAACUAGCACUGUUUACCAAACUACAAAGGCAAAAAACAAGAUGCAUGCAAACAUCUCUCACCAGGCUUACCUACCAUGCUUGAAAGGAAAAAAGAAAAUAAAAAGAAGGAAAAAAAAAAAGAAAAAAAUAAGAAUUGCAGGAGUUUCAUUGGUGUUUUAGCUUUUUUUUUAAACAUCACUAGGCACUUUUCUUUUUUGUUCACAUAUAAUUUGGAAAAUCUACUCCUACAUGAAUCUUCAUACCUUUUUGCUCACUCUCUAAAUUUUAUCUAAGCUUCCCAAGUAGUUUUUAAAGGGCUAGAAGCAGCACACUAUGCUUUAGCAAGAAAAUCUGAGCAGUAAUUUUGACUGAUUCUCACCAAAACCAGACAUAAGUAAGACAACUACUGAAAUAUUUUUGAAAACCUCCAAAGUUCUAUGAUAUCCUAAAGUCAUGUUUUAAGUCCGCAUUCCAAAAAAAUGCAAAAUUAUGUGAGUUUCACAGCACCACAAAAACUACACCAAUCCAAGCUGAAAAUCAUGUGCAAACAGGUGCCUAUGAGUACUUUACAAUUACUAAAUUUGCUAAUAGUUUUGAAGUGUUUCAGGAACUUGUGGUUCCCGCAAGACAGCAGAGAUUAGCACUUUAUGCAAAGAUGUGUUAGUACACAAAAUAAAGUUUUGAUUGUGGUACACGCAAGAGUUUCAAAUAAUACUCUUUAUGGCUCUUUUUCUUUUUUUUUUUUUUUCCUGUAUCUGAAAGAGCUCAUCAAAUUAAAAGAGAGAAGAAAAAAAGAAGAAAAUAUUAAAAAAAAAAAAAGGUUAAGAAUCGCGAAAUUCCAGUCUGUUUGUAUUGAACAUUGCUAUCCUUUCAGACUGACGAAAAUACUUGAUUUACUCGAUUCUUCACUACAUUAAGAAACACUGCCCUGAAGAAGGAUUCAUUUUCUCCUCUCCAGAUCCCUUCACUGAUGACUUGCCAAAUCGAUAGGAUAAUGUGAAAUGAAGAUUUAAAUAUUCAACACAUCCGUGUAAAAUCAUAUUUAGAAAAAGUGCAAUUACAUUGCAUCAUUUACAAAAUAAUGAGAGAGAACUAAGUAACAAGUAGCAAAGCAGACACUGCUGUGCAGCUUGGAGGGAGGGUACAUUUAACUCCUUAAACCCCGGAGACGGGAAAGAUUCUGUCACUCCCAGCCGACGUGCGAAGGUGACAUCCAGCACAGGCUUUAAAAGACUCAAACAAAAACACGGCCCUAAUAAGUCACCUGAUGAGGGAAGUGGAAAAGAACUGCCCAAGAUCAGCGAACAGCAGCUGCCCGAGCACGCAGGGCUGUGUCUCCUGUCAGACCCCUGCUCGGCCCCGGGGGGACACCCGGGCGCUCCCCGCAGCCCAACAGAACAUAGAGACAAAGAAUCGUUUGAGCUGGAAAAUGCCUCUAAGACCAUUGACUCCAGUCAUUACUGUUGCUCAUGAGUGUGAAGGAGCUGGUACAGACAAGACACAGGUAUAGUUCAUGAUCUUUCCUCUGGGACUCCCAAGCUGCACCAGCUGUUCCUGAAUCCAAAUUUUCUCAAACAGAUGAGAAGCAGUGAUGCUCCACAGGUUAUUGCAGUGCUCAUUGCCAGCGACAAAGCUGAGCAUUUGUUUAUGCCUCAUGAUACUGAUUUCACUGCAUUUUUACUGAACAAGAACAAUCCUCUGCCUUUUUUCCAUGUUAUUUGUGGUCAUAACAGAUUUGCUACACAGCACGAACCUUUGAUAUAGAAUAACUAUGAAGGACAUGGACAAAGGCCAAGAAAGGAUGGAAAGAACAGUUUGUUAAAACAGAAAAGAGAAAAUUGGACACAAUAUUUCGGUUUUGUAGAACUACAUUUUACUAGGUACGUCUGUUUGUUACGUAUAUGUCAGCUGGAAUCAAGCAGUUUUCAAUAUAAACAGAUUUCACAAUAUUACCCUGAAGCACACAUAGCAGCUCUCUCUGGCCCUGUUAGACCUUGGUGUCAGCUGUGGCCAGACACAGAAAAAGGAAGCUCAUGAAAGAAGCAAAUAAUAAUUCAGCCAGCAAUGUACAAAGCAGGGUACACAGGAAGAAAUAAUUGAGUGCCCUCUAUUUAACAAUAUGAUGUGGUAAAGGUAGAUAGACAACACCCAUAAAUUGUACUGGCAAAUCUAGAUUAACACAUGGAAAUAGAAUCUGAUUUUUCAGCAGUGAGCACUCCCCAUUUCCAGGAGGUUUUGUGUUGGAUGUAGCAACAUCAUUAGUCACUUCUGAUGUUGAGAAAAAAGAUAUUUUGAUAGCUUUUUCUAGGAUUGAUCAAAUUGUCUCUGUUUAAAGUCUGUUUCCUUUAAACCCUUUGCAUUCUAAUUUGAAUCAGGUCAUGAAUUUCAUUAUUUUCCCCUAAUCUUCUAGCAAGCAACUCACUGCCAGCUACUGUGUACCACUAAGAAAACUGCAAAGAUAUUUCUUUCAGAUGACAAGGCCACAUAAAAAGCUCCCAUUUCACUUUGAAUGAUUUCCUUUUCACUAAAAAUGUGCUUCUACAAAAACGUGCUGCCAAAAUUAUCAAAAUGCUAGAGCCAAAUUCUCCCACUAACUGCUUCAGCAUGUUCACUACCUCAUUUAGAAUGAAGGACAACAAAGUCACUGGAGAAUGGUUCAUCUGCAGCUAAACAGUCUCUCUCUUGCCCUUUAUAGCUCAUCAGUCUACAGGUCAUGCAUUCUGGAAACAAAGAUUUCUCCCAAUAAACAUUUUAUUUGAAAAAACAUCACCCAAGAAGUAACUGAAAAUACAGAGUGGAACACUAAAAAAAAUACAUUUUAAUGGCUCAUCUUCUCUAGAAAUUCAGAAAUAAACCUUUUCACACUUCACCAUUAUUGCAAGACAUUAGUCUGUCCCGCAUCAGAGGACGCUUCUGUUUGUUGUUUUAUGUUGGUUUGGUUUUGUUUUUGUUGGUUUGUUGGUUUGGUUUUGGGGGGUUUGCUGCUUGCUUGGGUUUUUUGGUUUUGUUUGAUUUUUUUUUUUGGUACGAGGUUUUGUUGUUGGGGUUUUUGGUUGUUUGGUUGUUUUUGUUUGUUUUUUGUUUGUUGGUUUGGGUUGGGGUUUAUUUGAGAGAUGAAAUUACACAAUUUCAACCCAGUAGUUACCUCUCUUCAUUCUUGAGGGGCCUGUCAGUUUUUGACUUGUCCAGUCUUUUUGACAGCUGAGACAUCUUUUACCUGCAUUUUGGUUAGACAUUUAGAUAUAAUCUAGAUAUCUACAGAGGAGACCCAAAACAAAUGGAGCAAAAUAAACCAUCUCUUAAACAGUAACACUUUUAAACUGCUUUAUAACUGCUUUAUAACUAAAUCACAUUACCUUUUAGAAAUAUUAAAAUCAUGCCAUGAAUGCUUCACAGUUUAAGACUUCACAGAUGUUAUGGGUUGUUACUAUUGCUAUUCCAAGCUUCAUGUCAGAAGUGAGAAUAGUUUACACAUGCUUUUGUUACUGAGAGAAGGUUACAGAUACUGGCACACAACCAAAGAGGAAGGGAAGAGGUACCACAAACCAGCUUGAACUCUUCACACAGUAAUCUGAAGUAGUUAUAGGUAAUGUAUUUGAUUCCUUCCAUAAACAUAUUUCUGGCACAACCUGUGUUAAUAAACUAGUUCUCAACCAGUUUUUAAUAAAAGAAUUUAGGCAUUACAUUCACAGAUUAAGGCUGCUUUUUUUCCUAGUGCUUGUGUGUAGCAACAGGUCUCAAGAAGUAGCUGAACUACAUCUCUCCUACUCUUGUUCCAGACUUUUACUGCUUACCAUUUUCUUGUCUCACUUGUUCUUCCAUACUUCCAUCUUCCAGCAGGUUCUUUACCAAGUCAGGGAAGUAAAUGCUACUGUAACUAUUCUGUACAGGUUCAAUGUAAAAACCAUGCAGAGAUAUUAAAAACCAAUAUGUUUGGGGAAAGGGAUUCUUCUAACUGGAUCUUUCAUGUUACAGGUAAUUUCAUAACAAAUGAGUUUGGAAAAUACAGAUGUGAUAAAGAAUACUCAUAUGUAAUAAAUACAAAAUCCAUGGAAACCAGAUUUUGAGUAAAACAGGAGAAAAGAGGCAAUACAAGUACCAGCAGCACAGGCUCUUUUAGAUCUCUUCCAUUGUUAUUUCCUUACCUUCAUAUGUUUUCAAAUCACUGACAUGGAUGUGUUAUUAUUUGCACAUGUUGAUAUAUUUAUUUUUAUAAUAAAUCUAAUUUGAAGUAAUCUGAUCAUUUUGUUAAUAGAAUCAUAGAAGGGUUUGGUUCAGAAAGGACCAUAAAAAUGUCUUAGUUUCAACCCCACUCCCACGGGCAGAGAAACCUUCCAUUAGACAAGAUUGCUUAAAGCCCCAUCCAGACUGGCCUUGAACAGGACAUCCACAAUUUCUCCGGCCAACCUGUCACAGUGUCUUAUCACCCUUAGAACAGAGAAUUCUUUCCUAAUAUGUAAUCUAAAACUACUCUCUUUAAAGCCAUCUCCCCCUCUGCUGUCACUACAGAUCUUGGUUAAAAGUCUCUAGCUGUCCUUCUUCUAAGCCCCAUUUAAGUAAUGAAAAGAUGCAAUGUGUUGUCCCUGGAGUCUUCUCUCCUCCAGAUUGAACAACCUCAGUUCUCUCAGCCUUUCUUUAACAAGGAAAGGUGCUCCACCCCUCUGAUGAUUUCUGUGACCUUCCUCUGGACCCACUGUAAUUGGUCCAUGUCUUUCCUGUGCAAGAGACCUCAGAGCUACAUGCAAUAUUCCAGGUGGGGUCUCACCAGAGCAGGAUAUUUUUAUACUGUUAGGGAUUAAAUAUAAUUUAUUGAAAGCAAAAUAAAUUAAAAUACAUAGACCUUCUUUGAAAUAGUGUUCUCAAGUCCAGUAAAUAAAACAAGUCCUCCCAAGUUUGUGAGUAACCUGUAUUUGUUACUCCGUGCAGCUUUUAAUGAUCUUUAAAGAACAUGCUUCUCAUAAAAACCAAUUAAAGAUCACUGUUCAAAUUAUAUGUUGUUACUGACUCCCUUCUAUAAUAAAAUUGUAAAGAAAAUGAAACAUCACGUGAGCUGUAAUAAAUGUUUACAUAGCAACAAGAGCCUUUGCUAGGACCGAACAGUCGGUUGCCACCUGCUUUAGCCAAACAUGUCCUUUUCUUUCACUCCAAAUAGUGUUCAGGCACUUCAGAAAGUCAUGUGAAUUAUUUAAAUACUCAACUCACACUUAAAAGUAAUUUAUUUACUACACAAAACUAAAGGUAUUACAAGGAACUUGCAGAACUGUGGAGGGAACAUUUUUCCAACAAUGUGACUUAAAUGUUGAUGCAGUAAAAUAAAGUAAAUUCCAUCCUCUUUUUGCAAGGGACCAAACCAGAAUACUAAAUUAAAGAUACAAAAAAAAAAAAAAAAAAAAAAAAAGAA